AUGAGUCUCCUAGAUAUGGAAAUAGCACAGUCAUUGUUGAGUCAGAUAUUGCAGAGAUUGCUGUGAGUUAUGAUAGCACAUGGUCUAAGCGCGAGGGUUCACUGCAAACUUUGGAAUUGAUUUUGUUAUUUCGGUUGACACAGGGGCAAAUUGAAAAGAGUCAGGGUGAUAUUGUUGCAGACAAGGAUGUUAUCAUUCGUUGUUCAUGGUUGAAUGAUGCAAAACAUAUGUUACGCUGAUACAGAUAGAGGCAAAGCAUUGGCAGUCCUUAUAUUGUGGGUUUGGUAUGUAAUAUACAAUUUCUUUAACCUAAAGCUAUGAAUCACCGACACGCCCACUGAAUCUAAUU
rnacentral:lncRNA from 1 species